CUGUUGUUAGGGAAGAACAAGUGCAAGAGUAACUGCUUGCACCUUGACGGUACCUAACCAGAAAGCCACGGCUAACUACGUGCCAGCAGCCGCGGUAAUACGUAGGUGGCAAGCGUUGUCCGGAAUUAUUGGGCGUAAAGGGCUCGCAGGCGGUUUCUUAAGUCUGAUGUGAAAGCCCCCGGCUCAACCGGGGAGGGUCAUUGGAAACUGGGAAACUUGAGUGCAGAAGAGGAGAGUGGAAUUCCACGUGUAGCGGUGAAAUGCGUAGAGAUGUGGAGGAACACCAGUGGCGAAGGCGACUCUCUGGUCUGUAACUGACGCUGAGGAGCGAAAGCGUGGGGAGCGAACAGGAUUAGAUACCCUGGUAGUCCACGCCGUAAACGAUGAGUGCUAAGUGUUANGGGGGUUUCCGCCCCUUAGUGCUGCAGCUAACGCAUUAAGCACUCCGCCUGGNGGAGUACGGUCGCAAGACUGAAACUCAAAGGAAUUGACGGGGGCCCGCACAAGCGGUGGAGCAUGUGGUUUAAUUCGAAGCAACGCGAAGAACCUUACCAGGUCUUGACAUCCUCUGACAACCCUAGAGAUAGGGCUUUCCCUUCGGGGACARARUGACANGGKGGUGCAKGGUUGUCGUCASCUCSUGUC
rnacentral:rRNA from 1 species